UCCUACACACAUGGUUGCAGUUUGAGAAAUCCUCUGGAUACAACUGUGGGUCCUAUGUGGGAGUUCCAGUGCUUAUAGCAAUUAUUGACUCUGUUUCUGGAUAUACCAGUUGAUACACUAUUGUACUUUUAAAAUAGGCAUUUUAACCGAGUGUACCGAAC